rnacentral:rRNA from 1 species
UACGAAGGGGGCUAGCGUUGUUCGGAAUUACUGGGCGUAAAGCGCGUGUAGGCGGGCCGUUAAGUCGGGGGUGAAAGCCCAGAGCUCAACUCUGGAAUUGCCUUCGAUACUGGCGGCCUGGAGCAUGAUAGAGGCGAGUGGAAUUGCGAGUGUAGAGGUGAAAUUCGUAGAUAUUCGCAGGAACACCAGUGGCGAAGGCGUCUCGCGGGAUCAUUGUUGACGCUGAGACGCGAAAGCGUGGGGAGCAAACAGG